UUCGACCCGAGCGAAGCGAGAGAACGUUGCGUCAGCAACGGCCCGCAGGGCGAGCCACGCAGUGGCGAGUCAUCCUCUAUCACCGACCA
rnacentral:sRNA from 1 species